GACGAACGCUGGCGGCGUGCUUAACACAUGCAAGUCGAACGAAGUGGCGAACGGGUGAGUAACGCGUAAUCAACCUGCCCUUCAGAGGGGGACAACAGUUGGAAACGACUGCUAAUACCGCAUACUGAAGGAGGGGAAGGCGGCUGAUUAGCUAGUUGGAGGGGUAACGGCCCACCAAGGCGAAGAUCAGUAGCCGGGUUGGGAGGAUGGACGGCCAAAUUGGGACUGGGACACGGCCCAGACUCCUACGGGAUGCAGCAGGGGGGAAUCUUCCGCAAUGGACGAAAGGCUGACGGCGCAACGCCGCGGGAGUGAUGACGGCCUUCGGGUUGGAAAGCUCUGUUAAUCGGGACGCGGUACCGGAAUAGAAAGCCACGGCUAACUACGUGCCAGCAGCCGCGGUAAUUC
rnacentral:rRNA from 1 species